CCCCUAUUUUUCAGAUUAAAAAAAACCCUGGUUUACUCAUGAAUUUUAACUGGUUAACCAAUUUUUCUUACACAAAAGUCUAUGAGACACAAAAAAAUUAAGAGUCCCUCCAGGCACUAUCUCAAGCAGAUAUUGACAGGCCUGUAACCCACCCCCCUCCCCCCAAUUUUCAAAACCCCUCCCGAAAUUUUUUUCUGGCUACGGACCUGCUCACAACCUCUGAGAAUGCCGGCCAUAGAUGUGGGCAAAACAUCAAAAGAGAAUGUUUCUGGAACAUGGCCAUACACCCUGGAAAACUCACAGGAAGCUGGGUUGCUGUGAGUCUUUCAGGCUGUAUGGCCAUGCUCCAGAAGCUUUCUCUCCUGACGUUUCGCCCACAUCUGUGGCAGGCAUCCUCAGAGGUUGUGCCCCUUAUAUGUAUGUUAACCGCCCUGAGUCCCUCUAGGGAGACAAGGUGGUCUAGAAAUAAAGUUUUGUUGUUAUUGUUGUUGUUGUCACUAACGCCCUUCAAUUGCGGUGACCAGAACUGGACACAGUGUGAUUCCAGGUGUGGUCUCACCAAGGCAGAAUAUAGGGGUAGCACGGCUUCCCUGGAUCUAGACUGUAUACUCCUAUUGAUGCAGGCCAAAAUCCGAUUGGCUUUUUCAGCCGCCACAUCACAUUGUUGGCUCACGUUUAACUUGUUGUCUACAAGGACCCCAAGCUUUUUUUCACACGUACUGCUGUCAAGCCAGGCGUCCCCCCAUUCUGCAUCUUUGCAUUUCAUUGGACACAGUAUUCAAGAUGUGGUCUGACAACGGCAGAAUAGCGGGGUAUCAUGACUUUCCUGGUCCUAGAUAUUUUACUCCUACUUAUGCAGACCAGUUUUUGUUUUUCCGUUGUGUUCCAUGUGGAGAAAUACUGCACUGCGGUAAUGCUCUCACCCGGCACCUUUUUCUGGCUGCCCCAUUCAACUCUCACAACAACAUUGCCGUCUCGCUCUCUUUCACUAUGGCAUUCACCUACCAAAGCUUUCCACUGAUUCAAAUCCGAGUCUGACAAUUCGUCCACACAUGGCCACUGUGUUUCUUUUUCUGUCUAGAUAUCUAAAAUGAGAUCCAAUGUGCGGCAGUUGUGUGUCCUGAAUACAAGAAAUGCAGGUUCAAAUUCCCUACUAAAGUUUGCGGAUGGUUCGCCCUGCUACUUCUCAGUCUCUUGGAUCCAAGAAGAAUGGAAGGGAGAGAAAUGCAAAAGAUAACAAUUAUGCCCAGAGCUACCGUUUCUGAAACCGGAGGCACCAGCAGGAGAGGCAGUGCAAAGUUUUGCAUGUCUUAUUGGUAACAGGUCUGUAAACAGUGGAGGCUGCUGGCCUUUUUCCUUUCCUUUUUACUAGCCUCUCCUUGGCCAGCUGCCUGUCUAAACAAUCGCAGUGCUGACACAUUAUGAGACACCAGGUGCCCUCUCCUUCAGCUGAUUUGGGGCUUUAAAGCUAUGCUAUGCUUUACUACAGCUGAGGUUGUAAAUUCCUUGGAGUUUCUGAAAGAGGAGAGUGCUGCAGGAGAUACAAGAACAAUAGAGAGAGUAGUGUGAGAAUUGGAAGGUAGGAGUAAUGUUGCUGGCAAUUACACUUGGACACAAAGUAAGGGGGAACGUCUCCCAGAUAAGACUCUCAAGCAGAGAGAAAGAUGGUGACAAUGCAGUAGCUAGUCUGUGAUAAAGGAGCAUGUGCAUAUGGGUUCAAAUUUGAGAUGAUGUGGGAGGAAGGAAAAAGAUCUUUUUAAAGUAUGAUCUGCUACUAUUUCCCUGAGGUGAAAGAAGUAAAUACCAACUUGAAGUUAGUUCCCACAGAUAAGAGUUGCUUGGAAGAUUUAAUACAUUGGGUUGCUGUGAGUUUUUCAGGCAGUAUGGCCAUGUUCCAGAAGCAUUCUCUCCUGACAUUUCACCCAUAUCUAUGGCAAGCAUCCUCAGAGGUUGUGACGUCUGUUGGAAACUAGGCAAGUGGGGUUUAUAUAUCUGUGGAAAAAAGAACUCUUGUUCCAACAGAUAAUACCUCCCAAGAAAGGAUUCCCUCAGGCAAGAAGCAGCCAGGCUUUGAAGCUGCAAGGCCAUUAGAUGUUAAUCAAGCUGGCCAAUUGCAUCGUUCACAUGUGCCUCAAACAGACAAGAGUUCUUUCUACCAGCCUGGACUUUCCACAGAUAUAUAAACCCCAUUUGCCUAGUUUACAACAGACCUCACAACGUCUGAGAAUGCCUGUCAUAGAUGUGGGUGAAAUGUCUGGAGAGAAUGCUUCUGGAACAUGGCCAGACAGCCCAGAAAAAUCACGGCAACCCAGUGAUUCUGGCUAUGAAAGCCUUCGACAACACAUUCAAUACAUUUAUAUACUAUCCUUUGCAGGACUCAAAACUAGCAUACCCAUGUUGUAUCCCAUCCAAGAGAAAAUCUUGUCAACCGGAAGGUCGGCAGUUUGAGUCGCGGAUCGGGAUGAGCUCUCGCCAUCAGCCCUAGCUUUUGCGUACCUAGCAGUUUGCAAACAGCAAUGUAAGUAGUUAAAUAGGUACUGCUUCAGUGGGGAGGUAAAAGGUGCCUCUGAAAACAUGCUGGCUAAUUCGAUCAGGAAGGCGUCCACGGACAUCGGCCUCCUUAGUGUGGAAAAUGGAACAACAGCACCUCCCCAUGGCCAAGUCGAGCACAGACUCUAGAUGCCGGAGAUGAAAAAGCAGGAAGCCUUGCCUCUGUCUGUGUGUCUCUGUUAUAAAUUGUGAUGGUAUUGAAUGUUUGCCUUGUAUGUAUUCUGUAAUCCGCUCUGAGUCACCUCGGGGAGACCGAGCGGAAUAUAAAUAAGGUAUAUUGUUAUUAAAGUUAGAAAAGGACACAAAGGCCAUCCAACCCCCUGCCAUCCAGGAAUACACAAUCAAAACAUUUAUGACAGAUUGUCAUGCAGUCUCAGUUUUAAAACGUUCAAAGAAGGGGGCUUCACACACUCAGGGUCAGUGCUAUGCUUUUAAUUAUGUUUAGCCUUUUCUUACACAAAAAGUGACCUGAUAUAGAAUAAUUGUUGGACCACAACUCUUAUCUGCACUUGCUGCCAACUAUGCCAACAGGGCUUUCAAUAACAACUGUUGUGGUUAUGUCGUUGUUUCAUGUCUUCAAGAUGUUUCUGUUUUAUGGCAACCCUAAAAUGAACUGUCAUGGAGAUUUCCUGGCAGCAUUUACCAUUGUGUUUCUCUGAAGCUGAAAGAGUAGAGCCUUGCUCAAGGUAAGUCUGUGGAUUUUCAUGGUUGAACAUGGAUCUGGCCUGUUUCUUAUUCUGAAAGCUAUGUUUGAUGGAAGAAGGGAGGUCUCUUCCUCCACAACUUCAUCUCUAUUGACUUAUUCACUUGGUCAACAUUCCCCAAACUGCUGCCCUCUAGGUUUUGGGCUUUUGGUGCCCAUCAGUCCCAGCCACCAUGGCUGAAGACCAAGAAUGCUGGAAAUUAAAGUAGAAAAUACCACAUGAGGAUCACAUUGGGGAAAGGAGGCAUCAUUUUUUUCUCUCCAAUUCAACUCUUAUUUACACUCCUAUCCUGCCUUCACAGCGGGUUUUACCUUUCAGAAACCACACCUAGGAUUCCAUUGUAAACAUAAGAGGCCAUCCAUGCAGCUUCUUCGUGGUGCUUCUUGCUCAUUACCCACCACCAGUUCCUUAAACCAAACCAACCUUGCAUUCAUAACUCACCACAAACAAGGGCCUCCCCCUUUCCGCUCCAGCACUCCCACGGUGCCACAAAGGCAUCACAACGGGGAGUGGGGCAAGCUGUUUACCACACAAUAGCUCACUCUUCCGCCUGCCCAAGUACCUUUCAGGAUGUUAACAUGUGGAACAACACUCCUUUCUUUUUUUUUCUAGCACCACUUUGGAGUAAAAACCGUGUCCAAAACCAAAGGUGAGAAUGUUGCAGCCCUACAGAUGUUGCUGAAUUGCAGCUCCUAUUGAGUUCACCAUUGGGUGGAACCUAAAUAAGGAAGUAAACAAUGAGGGAUAACCCAGUGACUCAGAGCGAUGGCACAGAUGGAGUGAACAAUGACAAGGAUCUGAUUCAGCACAACAGGAAGGAGAACCCAUUGACCGAAGGAAAAUGAAGUUCAACAACCUCACUUAAACUUUUGAAGAUUGUUUUGCAUAGCUCUUACUGUACAGACAUUUAAUGACCAGCAUACACCUCUCAUAGGAGUAGCCAAUAGCUUUCCAAGUUUCAUUCCUUCUAUCCUCUUCCAGAAUCAGCAACUACAUUUGAUAUGGUUAACACCAUGACACAGGCUACUGCUGAAUGUCCAUGAGAGCAGAAAAACCCAUUUUAGUCCAGAUAUUUGGACUGCCCUGUGGUAUUUUCAUAAUUUACUGCUAAUGACACUGAGUUAGUUAAUUCAAGCCUGUGAAGAAAAGAGCUAAACAUGAUGAGGAAGCCAAAAUCCCCUCUAGUCCUUCUUCCUCUAUGGAAUCCCCAAAGACUGAGUAAUAGGGAGUUGUGAAGGGUAUUAGUCAGGAUUUGUUCCUGCCAAUCCAAUUCAGGGUGAUUUUUAAGCUUCUCCGGUGUCUUUGACAAUUCCUUCCCGCUUUCAGUUUUGUACAAGUUGAGUAUCCCUUAUCUCAGGCAUGGGCAAACUUUGGCCCUCUGGGUGUUUUGGACUUCAACUCCCACAAUUCCUAACAGCCGGUAAAGUCCAAAACACCCGGAGGGCCCAAGUUUGUCCAAGCCUUCCUUACUAGUAUUCCAAACUACUCUGAAAUCCAAAAAAUGUCCCUAUUUGUGGCCGAGAUUCUGACUUAUUUUCUUUCUGAUGGUUCAAUGCACACAAACUUUGUAUUAUGUGCAAUAGUAUCUUUUAAAUUUGUAUAUUGCCUUCAGGUUAUUUGCAUUUGGUGUUUAUGAAGCAUAAAUGAAUGUAAUGUUUAG